AGUGAACGCUGGCGGCAGGCCUAAUACAUGCAAGUCGAACGGCAGCAUAGUAAGCGUUUGCUCUUAAGGGUGGCGAGUGGCGGGUGGGUGAGGCGUACAUAGGCUUCCUCUUUUUCGUGGGGGACAUCGUGGGGAAACUUAUGAUACUACCGCAUAUGACCUACGGGUGAAUGCAGUGGUUAUUCGGAGUUUGCGUGAUACUUUGAGCUGAUGUCGGAUUAGCUAGUUGGCGAGGUAAAGGCACACCAAGGCGACGAUCCGUAGCUGAUCUGAGAGGAUGAUCAGCCACACUGGAACUGAGACACGGUCCAGACUCCUACGGGAGGCAGCAGUAGGGAAUAUUGCACAAUGGGCGCAAGCCUGAUCCAGCCAUACCGCGUGAGUGAAGAAGGCCUUCGGAUUGUAAAACCCUGUUAUUAGGAAAGAAAAUCAGUAUAAGUAUACCCCGCUGUUCUGACGGUACCCAAAGAAAAAGCACCGGCUAACUUCGUG
rnacentral:rRNA from 1 species